rnacentral:rRNA from 1 species
GACGGAGGAUGCAAGCGUUAUCCGGAAUGAUUGGGCGUAAAGCGUCCGCAGGUGGCAGUUCAAGUCUGCUGUCAAAGACCGGGGCUUAACUUCGGAAAGGCAGUGGAAACUGAACAGCUAGAGUAUGGUAGGGGUAGAGGGAAUUUCCAGUGGAGCGGUGAAAUGCGUAGAUAUUGGAAAGACCACCGAUGGCGAAGGCACUCUACUGGGCCACUACUGACACUGAGAGACGAAAGCUAGGGGAGCAAACAGG